rnacentral:rRNA from 1 species
GAUGAACGCUGGCGGCGUGCCUAAUACAUGCAAGUCGAGCGAACAGAUGAGGAGCUUGCUCCUCUAACGUUAGCGGCGGACGGGUGAGUAACACGUGGAUAACCUACCUAUAAGACUGGGAUAACUUCGGGAAACCGAAGCUAAUAACGGAUAAUAUAUUGAACCGCAUAGAUCAAUAGUGAAAGACGGUUUUGCUGUCUCUUAUAGCUGGAUCCGCGCCGCAUUAGCUAGUUGGUAAGGUAACGGCUUACCAAGGCAACGAUGCGUAGCCGACCUGAGAGGGUGAUCGGCCACACUGGAACUGAGACACGGUCCAGACUCCUACGGGAGGCAGCAGUAGGGAAUCUUCCGCAAUGGGCGAAAGCCUGACGAAGCAACGCCGCGUGAGUGAUGAAGGUCUUCGGAUCGUAAAACUCUGUUAUUAGGGAAGAACAAAUGUGUAAGUAACUAUGCACGUCUUGACGGUACCUAAUCAGAAAGCCACGGCUAACUACGUG